UCGAACCUACGGGAGGCAGCAGUGGGGAAUAUUGCACAAUGGGGGAAACCCUGAUGCAGCGACGCCGCGUGGGUGAAGAAGGUCUUCGGAUCGUAAAACCCUAUUGUUAGAGAAGAAAGUGCGUGAGAGUAACUGUUCACGUUUCGACGGUAUCUAACCAGAAAGCCACGGCUAACUACGUGCCAGCAGCCGCGGUAAUACGUAGGUGGCAAGCGUUAUCCGGAUUUAUUGGGCGUAAAGGGAACGCAGGCGGUCUUUUAAGUCUGAUGUGAAAGCCUUCGGCUUAACCGGAGUAGUGCAUUGGA
rnacentral:rRNA from 1 species